GACAGAGGCCCCGAGCGUUAAUCGGAAUCACUGGGCUUAAAGGGUGCGUAGGCCGGCCCGCAAGUGCUUCGUGAAAGCCCACGGCUCAACCGUGGAACAGCGGGGCAUACUGCGGGUCUUGAGGCAGGUAGGGGUCGCGAGAACAGUAGGUGGAGCGGUGAAAUGCGUAGAUAUCUACUGGAAUGCCGAUGGUGAAGACGCGCGACUGGGCCUGUCCUGACGCUGAGGCACGAAAGCGUGGGGAGCGAACAGG
rnacentral:rRNA from 1 species